UAGGCGACCGGGUGAGUAACACGUGACUAACCUACCCUAAAGUGGGGGAAUAACCUCGGGAAACCGGGGCUAAUACCGCAUAACAUUGCGCGGCUGAAAUGCCAUGCAUUCAAAGGAGCAAUUCGCUUUUGGAGGGGGUCGCGGCUGAUUAGCUAGUUGGUAGGGUAAUGGCCUACCAAGGCGAAGAUCGGUAUCCGGCCUGAGAGGGCGCACGGACACACUGGAACUGAAACACGGUCCAG
rnacentral:rRNA from 1 species